CCUACGGGUGGCAGCAGUGGGGAAUAUUGGGCAAUGGGCGCAAGCCUGACCCAGCAACGCCGCGUGAAGGAAGAAGGCUCUCGGGUUGUAAACUUCUUUUAAGAGGGAAGAGCAGAAGACGGUACCUCUUGAAUAAUCCACGGCUAACUACGUGCCAGCAGCCGCGGUAAUACGUAGGUGGCAAGCGUUGUCCGGAUUUACUGGGUGUAAAGGGCGUGCAGACGGGAAGACAAGUCAGAUGUGAAAUCCCGCGGCUCAACCGCGGAAUUGCAUUUGACACUGUGUGUCUUGAGUACUGGAGAGGCAGACGGAAUUCCUGGUGUAGCGGUGAAAUGCGUAGAUAUAAGGAGGAACACCAGUGGCGAAGGCGGUCUGCUGGACAGCAACUGACGGUGAGGCGCGAAAGCGUGGGGAGCAAACAGGAUUAGAUACCCUAGUAGUC
rnacentral:rRNA from 1 species